AAAAUCUUCGCGAAAAAGCUUCGAGCUUUUCCGCACCGGCGUGAAGCCGACAGCGAUGGCUGCCAUAUUUCCAUCCAACUUUCACAUUACUCAUUUCCGGUUUGGGGAGCUUCGAGCCGACCGAGACGGAACGAUACGCGUCCGUGUGCACGGAAAAGUGACAGCACCACUCUGACUGGCUGGAGAGAAGUUUGAGAAGAGAGAAGUUUUCGUCUGACUGCGGUGCGGUGAACGCAACAAAACGGUUUUCGGACUUGGACAGCCCGACAGCUCGACGGUCGCCAUCAAUCGUUUGUGUUAAUUCACCCCGUGUGCCAUUGAAGAGCAAAAGCGAGAAGCGCACUCAGGUUCCAACCUAUUUUCCUCCCUCUAGUUGUGUGUCUGUCUAUACAAUUUAGAAGCUACUAUACUAGCUACUUAGAAAAUAAAAUCACUCGUCGUUAGAAGUGUGAAUACAAAUUUCCGUUUCGAGUAACCACCAUCAGAGAAGAAAAAAAUCACAAUGAGCUGGCAGGAUUAUGUUGACAAUCAGCUCCUGGCUUCCCAGUGCGUGUCGAAGGCGGCCAUUGCCGGUCACGACGGCGGUAUUUGGGCCAAAUCGGAAGGAUUCGAAGUA